CAUGAAGUCGGAAUCGCUAGUAAUCGCGGAUCAGCAUGCCGCGGUGAAUACGUUCCCGGGCCUUGUACACACCGCCCGUCACACCAUGAGAGUUUGUAACACCCAAAGCCGGUGGGGUAACCUUUUGGAGCCAGCCGUCUAAGGUGGGACAGAUGAUUGGGUGAAGUCGUAACAAGGUAUC
rnacentral:rRNA from 1 species